rnacentral:rRNA from 1 species
AUUGAACGCUAGCGGCAUGCCUUACACAUGCAAGUCGAGCGAGCGGCAGACGGGUGAGUAAUGUAUGGGGAUCUGCCCAGUAGAGGGGGAUAACUACUGGAAAGAGUGGCUAAUACCGCAUACUAUCGGAGGGGCCCAUAUCGGAUUAGCUAGUAGGUGGGGUAAAGGCUCACCUAGGCAACGAUCCGUAGCUGGUCUGAGAGGAUGAUCAGCCACACUGGGACUGAGACACGGCCCAGACUCCUACGGGAGGCAGCAGUGGGGAAUAUUGCACAAUGGGCGAAAGCCUGAUGCAGCCAUGCCGCGUGUAUGAUGAAGGCCUUAGGGUUGUAAAGUACUUUCAGCGGGGAUGCGUUAUCCGAAGAACAAGCACCGGCUAACUCCGUGCCAGCAGCCGCGGUAAUUC